CCUACGGGUGGCAGCAGUGGGGAAUAUUGCACAAUGGGCGGAAGCCUGAUGCAGCGACGCCGCGUGAGGGAUGACGGCCUUCGGGUUGUAAACCUCUUUCGACAGGGACGAAGCUUUUGUGACGGUACCUGUAUAAGAAGCACCGGCUAACUACGUGCCAGCAGCCGCGGGAAUACGUAGGGUGCGAGCGUUGUCCGGAAUUACUGGGCGUAAAGAGCUCGUAGGUGGUUUGUCGCGUCGUCUGUGAAAUUCCGGGGCUUAACUCCGGGCGUGCAGGCGAUACGGGCAUAACUUGAGUGCUGUAGGGGAGACUGGAAUUCCUGGUGUAGCGGUGAAAUGCGCAGAUAUCAGGAGGAACACCGAUGGCGAAGGCAGGUCUCUGGGCAGUAACUGACGCUGAGGAGCGAAAGCAUGGGGAGCGAACAGGAUUAGAUACCCGUGUAGUC
rnacentral:rRNA from 1 species